CAGUCGCCACGGGAAUACGGAGGGUGCAAGCGUUAAUCGGAAUUACUGGGCGUAAAGCGCACGCAGGCGGUCUGACAAGUCAGAUGUGAAAUCCCCGGGCUUAACCUGGGAACUGCAUUUGAAACUGUCAGGCUGGAGUCUUGUAGAGGGGGGUAGAAUUCCAGGUGUAGCGGUGAAAUGCGUAGAUAUAGGAAGGAACACCAGUGGCGAAGGCGACCACCUGGACUGAUACUGACACUGAGGUGCGAAAGCGUGGGGAGCAAACAGGAUUAGAUACCCGCGUAGUCCCUGUCUCUUAUAC
rnacentral:rRNA from 1 species